AACGCUAUCUACGGGCUUAACACAUGCAAGACGAGGGGCAGCGGGAUUGAAGCUUGCUUCAAUUGCCGGCGACCGGCGCACGGGUGAGUAACGCGUAUCCAACCUUCCGUACACUCAGGGAUAGCCUUUCGAAAGAAAGAUUAAUACCUGAUGGUAUGAUGAGAUUGCAUGAUAGCAUCAUUAAAGAUUUAUCGGUGUACGAUGGGGAUGCGUUCCAUUAGGUAGUAGGCGGGGUAACGGCCCACCUAGCCGACGAUGGAUAGGGGUUCUGAGAGGAAGGUCCCCCACAUUGGAACUGAGACACGGUCCAAACUCCUACGGGAGGCAGCAGUGAGGAAUAUUGGUCAAUGGACGAGAGUCUGAACCAGCCAAGUAGCGUGAAGGAUGAAGGUCCUACGGAUUGUAAACUUCUUUUAUAAGGGAAUAAACCCUUCCACGUGUGGGAGCUUGUAUGUACCUUAUGAAUAAGCAUCGGCUAACUCCGUGCCAGCAGCCGCGGUAAUACGGAGGAUGCGAGCGUUAUCCGGAUUUAUUGGGUUUAAAGGGAGCGCAGACGGGUCGUUAAGUCAGCUGUGAAAGUUUGGGGCUCAACCUUAAAAUUGCAGUUGAUACUGGCGUCCUUGAGUGCGGUUGAGGUGUGCGGAAUUCGUGGUGUAGCGGUGAAAUGCUUAGAUAUCACGAAGAACUCCGAUUGCGAAGGCAGCACACUAAGCCGUAACUGACGUUCAUGCUCGAAAGUGUGGGUAUCAAACAGGAUUAGAUACCCUGGUAGUCCACACGGUAAACGAUGGAUACUCGCUGUUGGCGAUAUACUGUCAGCGGCUUAGCGAAAGCGUUAAGUAUCCCACCUGGGGAGUAC
rnacentral:rRNA from 1 species